rnacentral:lncRNA from 1 species
CAUCAUCCCAUAUAUAAUCAAAUAUCUAAUACAAAUCCAAUAUUAUAACUUCUCUAUGACACAUACAUCUGCGAAGGGGUUUUAAAGAUGUUACGUUUUCAAUAAAAAAUAGUAUUUUCAUAGUGGUACGAAUGCUCAUGAAUUUAUAUGAUAUGAGGAUGUAACUCACAACCAACCAGAACGAGAAUUUUGAAAUUAGACCAAUACUUCAUUCCAC